rnacentral:rRNA from 1 species
CCUACGGGAGGCAGCAGUGAGGAAUAUUGGUCAAUGGCCGGAAGGCUGAACCAGCCAAGUCGCGUGAAGGACGACUGCCCUAUGGGUUGUAAACCUCUUUUAUGAGGGAAUAAUAAAUUCUACGUGUAGCAUUUUGCCUGUACCUUAUUAAUAAGCAUCGGCUAACUCCGUGCCAGCAUCCGCGGUAAUACGGGGGAUUCGUGGGUUAUCCGGAUUUAUUGGGGGAAAUGGGUGAGUAGGGGGUUUUUUAAGUCUGUGGGUAACUGUCGGGGCUACACCUUUAAUUUCAAUUGAAACUGUCAGACUUGAGUACAGUCGAGGGAGGCGGAAUACGUGGAGUAGCGGUGAAAUGCUUAGAUAUAACGAAGAACUCCGAUAGCGAAGGCAGGUUACUGGACUGCAACUGACGCUGAAGCACGAAAGCGUGGGGAGCGAACAGGAUUAGAUACCCUUGUAGUC